UCGGCUCUACCUCAGCAGCACGGGGCAGCCCUGCUCCUCCUCCCUGCCGCCUCACAUCUUCUCCUGCGCCGAGAGAGCCUUCCACCAGCUUUUCCAGGAGCAGCGGCCCCAGUGCUUCAUUCUCAGUGGAGAAAGAGGAUCGGGCAAGUCUGAAGCCAGCAAACAAAUAAUGAGACACCUCAUCUGCAGGUCUGGCUCCAGCAGACCCAUGUUUGAUUCCAAAUUUAAACAUGUCAUGUGCAUCUUGGAAGCCUUUGGACAUGCCAAGACAACGCUUAAUGAUCUGUCCAGUUGCUUCAUAAAAUAUUUUGAACUUCAGUUCUGCGAGAGGAAAAAACACCUAA